GACGUAGGGCGCGAGCGUUGUCCGGAUUUAUUGGGCGUAAAGAGCUCGUAGGCGGCUUGUCACGUCGUCCGUGAAAACCUGCGGCUCAACUGCAGGCUGGCGGUCGAUACGGGCAGGCUGGAGUUCGGUAGGGGAGACUGGAAUUCCUGGUGUAGCGGUGAAAUGCGCAGAUAUCAGGAGGAACACCGGUGGCGAAGGCGGGUCUCUGGGCCGAUACUGACGCUGAGGAGCGAAAGCGUGGGGAGCGAACAGG
rnacentral:rRNA from 1 species